rnacentral:rRNA from 1 species
AACGAACGCUGGCGGCAUGCCUAACACAUGCAAGUCGAACGAGACCUUCGGGUCUAGUGGCGCACGGGUGCGUAACGCGUGGGAACCUGCCCUUAGGUUCGGAAUAACUCCCCGAAAGGGGUGCUAAUACCGGAUAAUGUCUUCGGACCAAAGAUUUAUCGGCUUUGGAUGGGCCCGCGUUGGAUUAGCUAGUUGGUAGGGUAAAAGCCUACCAAGGCGACGAUCCAUAGCUGGUCUGAGAGGAUGAUCAGCCACACUGGGACUGGGACACGGCCCAGACUCCUGCGGGAGGCAGCAGUGGGGAAUAUUGGACGAUGGGCGAAAGCCUGAUCCAGCAGUGCCGCGUGAGUGAUGAAGGCCUUAGGGUUGUAAAGCUCUUUUAACCGGGAUGAUAAUGACAGUACCGGGAGAAUAAGCGCCGGCUAACUCCGUG